rnacentral:rRNA from 1 species
GAUGAACGCUGGCGGCGUGCCUAAUACAUGCAAGUCGAGCGAACAGACGAGGAGCUUGCUCCUCUGACGUUAGCGGCGGACGGGUGAGUAACACGUGGAUAACCUACCUAUAAGACUGGGAUAACUUCGGGAAACCGGAGCUAAUACCGGAUAAUAUAUUGAACCGCAUGGUUCAAUAGUGAAAGACGGUUUUGCUGUCACUUAUAGAUGGAUCCGCGCCGCAUUAGCUAGUUGGUAAGGUAACGGCUUACCAAGGCAACGAUGCGUAGCCGACCUGAGAGGGUGAUCGGCCACACUGGAACUGAGACACGGUCCAGACUCCUACGGGAGGCAGCAGUAGGGAAUCUUCCGCAAAGGGCGAAAGCCUGACGGAGCAACGCCGCGUGAGUGAUGAAGGUCUUCGGAUCGUAAAACUCUGUUAUUAGGGAAGAACAAAUGUGUAAGUAACUAUGCACGUCUCGACGGUACCUAAUCAGAAAGCCACGGCUAACUACGUG